UGAACACAAAAUGGCGACACGUGGUUAGCAUUCGUCGCCAACGAGAAAUUGGGGUCGGCCCGAAAGCUCUAGAAUGCACCCCUCUUCCUCCCCGGGGCCUUCCACCUCCGCGAGUUUUAUGACUUAAAAAAGCCCACAGGCUGGUCUGAAGAGGAAGACAAACAUAAAGAUGAAGUGCUUAAUUCAAGGUCACACAAUGUCGGGGAUGGACCUCCAGAUUUCCUUACUGACCUGCAUUAUCUUGUGGAUACCUGAGUGAAUUCCACACCACCCAUUUUAUAGAUGAAACCACUGAGACAUGGAGCAAUUGACUGAGUAGUCACUGCCCCACCCCUGCCUGGAGCCUCACACAUGACUCGCCUCCUCUCAGUGACCACAGGUGAGACGUGGUCUUGUAACACAGUGGUUAAGAAUGUGACUUUGGAGCCAGCCUGCUAGGGGCUGAAUUCUGACUCAGCCAUUUACUAACUGUGUGACCUUAGGUGGAGUCUCACUCUGUAGCCCAAGCUGGAGUGGCGUGAUCUCGACUCACUGCAACCUCCGCCUCCUGGGAUCAAGUGAUUCUCGUGCCUCAGCCUCCUGAGUAGCCGGGACUACAGUUGUCCCUUGGUGUGGGAUUGCUUCCAGUACCUCUGUGUGUAACAAAAGCUGCACCAUUCAAGUCCCACAGUUGCCCUGCGAAACCUCUGUAUAUGAAAAGUUGGCCCUCCAUGUACAUGGGUUUCCCAUCCUGUGAGUACUGUAUUUUUGAUCCUCAUUUGGUUGGAAAAAAUCUGCAUAUAAGUGGACCUGUGCAGUUCAAACCCGUGUUGUUCAAGGGUCAGCUGUAUAUUUACAGUUGUUAUAUUGUCUUGAUAAAUUGAUCCUCUGUCAUUAUGUAAUGAUGUUCUUUGUCUUGUUUUACAGUUUUUACUUAGUCUGUUUUAAGUAUAGCUACCCCUGCUCUCUUUGGUUUCCAUUUGCCUGAAAUGUCUUUUUCUAGCCUUUCACUUUCAUUCUAUGUGUGUUCUUAAAUGUGAAGUUAAUCUUCAUAGGCCACAUAUAGUUGGGUCUGUUUUUAAAUUUUUGAUAGUAUCCAACCUAAUGGGUGUGAGGUGAUAAUUCUUUGUGGUUUUGAUUUGCAUUUCUCUAAUGAUUAGUGAUGUUGAGCAUCUUUACAUAUGAUUGUUGGCCAUUUGUGUCCCUUCUUUGGAGACUAUUCAAAGUCCUUUACCCAUUUUAAAAAUGAAGGCAUUUGCCCUUUGUUGUUGAGUUGUAGGAAUUUUAAAAAUAUAUUCUGGAUAGUAAAUCCUUUUCAGAUAUAAGAUUUGCAAAUGUUUUUUCCCAUUCUGUGGGUUGUC
rnacentral:lncRNA from 1 species